UCUCGCGGCUUUCUUCGCUGUUCAAAACUCCUCCCUUUCCAGCGACGGCAGCGACGGCGGAGCACGAGCACGUGAGGGGCGGCGCCUUCCUCCCUUUCCAGCGACGGCGGAGCACGAGCAGGUGAGGGGCGGCACCUUCGUCGGACAGCUAGCCGCGGUGGAGGAGAAGGCGGACGCCAUGGGUGCGGCUACAGACGAGGCGGAGGAAAAGGCGGACGCCGUGGGCUUGCUGCACGGCUACAGCCGAGGCGGAGGAGAAGGCGGACGCCGUGGGCGUUCAUGGAGGAUGGUACACCGUCCGCCAGCUCCGGCCGCCAGUCCUCUCUGGCCUCCUCCGUGGUAUCCUUCUCAACCUCCGCUGCUCCUAUCGUGAUUUGGAUGGAAAAUUGGAGGCCGGCCGUGUCCUUCUCCAACACAAAUUGAUGUAGUGCCCGACCCGGAUUUGAUUGGCUGCUAUAAGAAGCAAGGAUCCUCGGCCGGAAUCUCCAUCAGUUCGCCGGAGGAAGAAGCGCCGAGUUCGCCGGAGGAACAAGCGCCGAGUUCGCCGGAGGAACAAGAACGCCCGCCGAGUCCUGUGGUGGCUACACGAGAGGCCCUUAAGAUGAGUGAUGAACAUCCGUUGAGCCGUCCAAUGUUGCCUUUGGCAACUACACCAGAGGUGCCAAAGGCAUCCAAUCCAACUCAGGUGGAGGCCAAGGAGGUUCAGCUCUCGGACAUUGCACCAAUAAUGUUGGAUGAUACCGACGUGAAGACUAAAAUAGAUGACAUCGCUGAACUGGACAUUGCAGAGGAUUUUGAUAACCGGCCUUCCAAAAAGGCAAAAAUUUCUGAAUCACGUGUACUGGAACCAUCACCUAUGUCACCAACUAUGAAAACAUCUUCUCCAGGUUCAGAGUGUUUUGAAUCGUUUGUGCCGGAAUCAGAUAAUUAGAUGAAUCAUGAUACACUACCAUCACCUCCAUCCCCAUCUAGCUCGACAAUAUCUCCUGUUUUCCCAUUGCAUGAUAUUAAGGAACCAAAUUCACAUAAAGAGAUCAAAGUUGAUGAGACAUAUGAUUAUCUCCCACAAGACUAUACAUUGACCGACCAUGAUCUAUGUGCUCAUAUAGCAAUAGAAUCAUCUUUGAGAAAACAAUUGCUGGUUCAGAUAGAUGGAAGUUCUGUCUUGCAACAUCAAUUGAUGUGCCUGCUAGAUGAGAAAGAGUGGGUAAAUGAUGAUGUGAUCAAUGCAUAUAUAUGUUGUAUAAAGGACCAAAUACAUCUCUAGAAUGAUAAUAAAGUAUAUUUUGAGAGUCCAUUUGUUACCUCACUAUUUAAACGAGAUGGCACCAUUGGAAUACAAGAAGGUAGUGCCUUCAUGACAGAGA